GAGGAAAGUCCGGGCUUGCAAGUAGAAUAUGUUGCAGGAUAAGUUCCUGUGCAAGCAAUUGCGAGGCUAGUGCCACAGAAAAAGAAUACCGCUAGGAGUCACUUAGUAAGGGUGCAAUGGUGUGUGUCUCAUAUUGGAUGAUCUUCACCGUAGUUUUUUUUAUCUAUAAACAAUAAGGCUAUGUUUAGCAGAAAGUUAAGUAGUUUGUUAUCAAGUGUAUUGCUUCUUCAAAAAGUUUACUAUUUGAACACUCAGUAGUAAUAUGAUGAUUAAAUUAUUAAGUUUAUCAUCGGAUUAAUAUUUUACUUCAUUAGCCUAACUUGUGUAACAAUUGAUAAGGUCAUAACGAUAUGAAUUGAUUCGUUUUCGAAACAAUUAUAUGAUAUUUUAUUUUAAACAAAAUAUAGUUUUAAUGAGCAUUUUUUAUAUAAAUAUAAGCGUAAUGUUCUUUCCAAAGCGUAGGCUGAUUGAUUUAAAAGCAUACCAGUAAUACUGCGAAGUAUUGGCUAGGUAAACCCCAACAAAAAGCAAAUUCGUUGAUUAGCUUUAUUUACUUGUAGUCGACGAUCUAAAAGUGCAGAAAGUUAUGAGCAAUUUUAACUUCAGAUAAAUAACCAUCCUUUUAAAGAUCUAUAUCAUUUAUUUGUAUCUUAAAAGAACUAAACCCGGCUUAA
rnacentral:RNase_P_RNA from 1 species